AUUCAGCUGACGAGUCCGAAAUUAGACGAAACGCGCAUCCUGGAU
rnacentral:hammerhead_ribozyme from 1 species